CGUUGGUCAGAGAUGUGGCUGGAGGCAAAGGGCACAGCUGGAUGGGGUUGCUGAAACAGCCCCUUGUGACAAUAAGGAGCGAAAUGUAAGUUAGGGCAGCUCAGAUGGACUUUUUCUCACCAGUGAGAGAUGUGCAUAGGUGGGCACGCCCUUUGGGCAGCUCUGAAGAGGCACUACACCACACCAUUCCUUGUUGCUGGAGAGCUGGGGGACAGCCAGAGCUGCUCUUUUGCUGUUUGGCAUGUGUGUUUAUGUAACAACUAUUACUUCAUUCUAACUUGUGCUCCAGGAUAAAGGCUUGGAGAGAAAUUAGGUUUCAACCAUAACACUGUGGGGUCAGUCUGUUUGAUCCACUUGAGUGUGAUUGUUUCAACAUAAAUUCUUCCAAGUUGCUAAUAGUACACCAUAGCACAUCAGCUGUACCAACUGUGCAACAUGUUUCCCCACUCAUGUACGACCAGUUCUGGAGAAUGGUGAAUGGUCUUGCUCCAUUUGAGUGCUAAGGCCUGCGGGUGCAUAUAGAUGAAUCCAAUAGAAUUUCCUAGGGAUGAACCAAUAGGGUUCUAUCGACAUUAGUCUUUAAUUAAUCUGUGGAAUUUAAUAGCAAAUCAUAUCCUCACUCUACCAUAUUUAAAUUGUCAUAUGGAAUUUCUAUAGAGGAAGAACCCUUGGAAGACUUACCAUUUACUUUUAAAUGCUGUUGAACAAAACAGAAAGGGAAGUGUAGGGAGGGAGCAGGGUCUGUAUUCUCCAGUAUUAUGUGGCAGUACACACAGGUAGGAGGCUCAUAUUCAUAGAUUCCAAGGCUACUUUAGUCAACUCAUCAGACCUUCUCAGAUGAGCACAGGCCAUAGAACUUCCUGCAAAUAAUUCCUAGAGCAGGUCUUUUAGAAGAGCAUCCAGUCUGGAUUUAAAAAUUGUUAGCAAUGGAGACUCCAGCAUGACCCUCGGUAAGUUGUUCCAAUGCUUUAUUACUCUCAUUUCCAGUCUAAGUUUGUUUAGUUUCAACUUCCAGCCAGUAGAUUUUGUUAUACCUUCUUCGCUAGACUGAAGAGCUCAUUAUUAAAUAUUUGUUCUCCAAGCAGGCACUUACAGAGUGUGAUCAGGUCUCCCUUUAACUUUCUCUUUGUUAAAAUAAAUAGAGUAAAUUCCUUCAGUCCAUCACUAUGAGGCAGGAUUUCUAAUCCUUUCAUUUUUGUCAUGGCUCUUCUGCCUCUUUAAUUUAGCAGCAUCCUUCUUGAAUUGUGGACAUCAGAACUGGACAGAGAAUUCCUGCAGUAGUCACACCUCUCUACUCCUACUUGAGAUUCUCCUGCUUAUGUGUGACAGUAAUGGAGCAAUGCCAAUUUUGACCAGCUGAGGAACUGGCUCAGUUGCUACUCAUGACUCUUGGAUCAAAUAACCGAUUUCCAGAUGAAGAUGUGUAUUGCUGAGGAUUGCCAUGUUAAUAUCCACUAGGCAACUGGAGUUUUAGCCAAGUCCCCAGCUUGAUUGAAACAACAAUGUCCAUUCAAUCAGGAGUUGUGACACUGUUGUACUGUGUGUUCCAUGGAGACCUGGCUGCCACUGGUAUCUGCAGUUACUCUGUAACCUCCUGCUGAGCAAAAAGUAGUGGCAGGUGCAAUGAGGAAUCCUGAGGCUGCAGUGUGAGAGUACACAAACUUUACAGAGAGAGAGUGAUUGCAGGAGAAGGAGUGAACAUGGAUUUCCCUGAAAGACACAUGCCCAUUCCUUUGUUGCAACAUUGGGUUAAAUAAAUUGGCGCACACCACAAUGUGUUUUUACAGGAUGGCUGCUAGUUUCCUUAUAUUUUAAUAGGCUCGCUCCUGCUGUGUCUCAGACACAGUAACUAGAACUGGGCCCCAUGUGAUGAGCUCUCAGUCACACCACAGCUGUCAUGCUAUGGUACAAAGGACAAGCUGAAUUCUUGUAAAAAAUAAUGCCUUGUCUUCUUUACACAGCUCAGCCCAUUUCCUUUCCAUAUUUCUCGUUGUCUCUCCUCUCCCAGGAAGUGAUUUAGCACCAGCAGCUCUUUGAGAUACCUCGUCAAAACAUCUCAAGGGGCAGCCAUGUUAGUCUGUAACGUUACAAACAAUGAGUAGUCCUGCAGCACU